CAUGUGCAGUGGGACUGUCAAACGUUGUUUAUCAUAAUGGAUAGCGGAUUUAUAUUUUAUAGAACCAUAUGUGAGUGGCUUUACAGAAACAACCAAAGAACUUGGAGACCUUCUUAAAUGAUGUAGAGUUUGCACUGAAGGAGGGGUUCUUAAAGGAUGUAGGUCAAGAUACAUCACCCACAGCCAGUAAAUAGGUGUGCUCAUCAACAGGUCAAUAUACAUCGCCCACAGCUGGUCAAGAGGUGUGCUCAUCGGCAGGUCAAGAUACAUCACCCCCAGCUAGUCAAGAUGUUUGGCCAUCAGCACAUAAAGAUACAUUCCCUACAGCCAGUCAAGAGUUUUGCUCAUCAGAACGUCAAGAUACAUCACACACAGCCAGUCAGGAGGUGAACCUUAGGAAAUACACUGCAACAUUAAGCCAGAAGCAUGGACGAAGAUGACCACACUAUAUCAGAUGAGGAUGAAGAGGAAUAUGAGGGAAAGAGAAAAAGGAAGCCCCCCAAAAAGGCUGCAAAAAGUCAGAAAUUCACAGAGGUAGAAACAGAG